rnacentral:rRNA from 1 species
UACGAAGGGGGCUAGCGUUGCUCGGAAUCACUGGGCGUAAAGCGCACGUAGGCGGAUUGUUAAGUCAGGGGUGAAAUCCUGGAGCUCAACUCCAGAACUGCCUUUGAUACUGGCGAUCUCGAGUCCGGGAGAGGUGAGUGGAACUGCGAGUGUAGAGGUGAAAUUCGUAGAUAUUCGCAAGAACACCAGUGGCGAAGGCGGCUCACUGGCCCGGUACUGACGCUGAGGUGCGAAAGCGUGGGGAGCGAACGGGGAGUUAGA